CACAACCAAAAGUAACUACUAUGUGCAAUGAAGUUAAAAACUAUUUGCUAGAUGGUUCUCCAGGUGCCACCUUCACCAUGGUCACACUUGAGGAAGCAAGGAACAACACCAAGGGAAGACACAGGUUGAUGUGGAAACGUUCUAGAACUAUUCAGGAAAUAAACGGCCAAUUCUGACAUCAUUUCAAAGUUGAACGAGAUUACUUGGAGCCGUUGUCUUAGCAAAUCUUUAAGGUUUUGAUUUACGUUAUUCUCACAAGUGAUGACUGUAAUAAAAACGCCAACUAUUGGUGCCGUUGUUAUCUAGUAGUAUCUCUAUGCUCGAUGCUUCCUUAGCUGAAAAUGGACUGCGAAUGGGAUUGGAAAAGGUUUAUU